rnacentral:rRNA from 1 species
GGAAAGGCUUCGGCCGGACAGGGAUGGGCAUGCGGCGCAUUAGGCAGUAGGCGGGGUAACGGCCCACCUACCCGACGAUGCGUAGGGGUUCUGAGAGGAAGGUCCCCCACACUGGUACUGAGACACGGACCAGACUCCUACGGGAGGCAGCAGUGAGGAAUAUUGGUCAAUGGUCGGGAGACUGAACCAGCCAAGCCGCGUGAGGGAGGAAGGUACAGAGUAUCGUAAACCUCUUUUGUCAGGGAACAAAGACUGGGACGCGUCCCCGGAUGAGUGUACCUGAAGAAAAAGCAUCGGCUAACUCCGUGCCAGCAGCCGCGGUAAUACGGAGGAUGCGAGCGUUAUCCGGAUUUAUUGGGUUUAAAGGGUGCGCAGGCGGUCUGUUAAGUCAGCGGUCAAAGCCCGGGGCUCAACCCCGGCCCGCCGUUGAAACUGGCAGUCUCGAGUUGGAGAGAAGUAUGCGGAAUGCGCGGUGUAGCGGUGAAAUGCAUAGAUAUCGCGCAGAACUCCGAUUGCGAAGGCAGCAUGCCGGCUCCACACUGACGCUGAGGCACGAAAGCGUGGGUAUCGAACAGGAUUAGAUACCCUGGUAGUCCACGCAGUAAACGAUGAAUGCUGGCUGUCCGGGGGGACUGACCCCUGGGUGGCGAAG